GGGGACGCGUGGGUUCGACAGAGGAAGUGUUCUUCAGGAUUGCAGGCUGAGGUGCCACUAACCUCACAAAACAAGUGGCGAAAAAUAACCAACGAAUCCGAAUUAGUUUAUGCAGCCUAACUAAAUAGGUUGCACGCUCAACCUGACCUCACCUCAGCGGGUUGGGAUUGGGUGCCGAAAAGUUGAGGUGCCACCACCCCGAUGUCGAUAAGGGUGGUGAAAGAAGUAUCGACUGGCCUGGCUAAACUCGGUCAGCAGAGGCUAGCCAGGUAAGAUUAAAUAGCUGACUAAGCUUGUAGAAUAUUCUGGGUAGCUUCUUUUGGACGGGGAGUUCGACCCUCCCCCGUCUCCACCA
rnacentral:tmRNA from 1 species